UUGGAUAACCGUGGUAAUUCUAGAGCUAAUACAUGCUAAAAACCCCGACUUCGGGAGGGGUGUAUUUAUUAGAUAAAAAACCAAUGCCCUUCGGGGCUCCUUGGUGAUUCAUAAUAACUUCUCAGAUCGCAUGGCCUUGCGCCGGCGACGGUUCAUUCAAAUUUCUGCCCUAUCAACUUUCGAUGGUAAGGUAUUGGCUUACCAUGGUUUCAACGGGUAACGGGGAAUUAGGGUUCGAUUCCGGAGAGGGAGCCUGAGAAACGGCUACCACAUCCAAGGAAGGCAGCAGGCGCGCAAAUUACCCAAUCCCGACACGGGGAGGUAGUGACAAUAAAUACUGAUACAGGGCUCUUUAGGGUCUUGUAAUUGGAAUGAGUACAAUUUAAACCUCUUAACGAGGAACAAUUGGAGGGCAAGUCUGGUGCCAGCAGCCGCGGUAAUUCCAGCUCCAAUAGCGUAUAUUAAAGUUGUUGCAGUUAAAAAGCUCGUAGUUGAACCUUUGGCCUGGCUGGCGGGUCCGCCUCACCGCGUGCACUCGUCCGGCCGGGCCUUUUCUUCUGGAGAACCGCAUGCCCUUCACUGGGUGUGUUGGGGACCAGGACUUUUACUUUGAAAAAAUUAGAGUGUUCAAAGCAGGCCUUUGCUCGAAUACGUUAGCAUGGAAUAAUAGAAUAGGACGUGCGGUCCUAUUUUGUUGGUUUCUAGGACCGCCGUAAUGAUUAAUAGGGACAGUCGGGGGCAUCAGUAUUCAAUUGUCAGAGGUGAAAUUCUUGGAUUUAUUGAAGACUAACUACUGCGAAAGCAUUUGCCAAGGAUGUUUUCAUUAAUCAGUGAACGAAAGUUAGGGGAUCGAAGACGAUCAGAUACCGUCGUAGUCUUAACCAUAAACUAUGCCGACUAGGGAUCGGGCGGUGUUAUUAUUUUGACUCGCUCGGCACCUUACGA
rnacentral:rRNA from 1 species